rnacentral:sRNA from 1 species
GAAAAAAAAAAAAGAAAAAAACUACCUCUCCUUGAGCCAGCGGGGUCUCAGGGCCCUUCUCAAUGGGGGCCUGCUGGCCUCACCUUCCAGAGCAUGAAUCUCCUGGGGACUUAGUCCCACCCGCCAAGAUCAGGCCUCCCACCCAACUGCCAGGCCUGCCUCCUGGAGCGCCAGCCACUUCUGGAGAGACCACAGUGGGGUGUCUCAUUGAGGUCAGCCUGCUGAGAAGCCCCGCUGCAGGGCCAGCUGCCAUCCCCAGAGGCCCCCACUCCACUGCACAGUGGGCCUGGGGAUGGGAGUGGGGAGGGCGGAGCAGCACCUGUUAGGCUCCAGGAGCCAGGCUGGAGGCCUGGCCUGAGGAUACAGCACCACCAGGAGCCCUGGGAGCUGAGGCUCCCACUGUCUCCAGUCUGGAGAGGGGCCACAUGGGGAGCCCGGGGCCUCAGCCUGGCUCACACCUGCUAUCAGCUUCACCCCGAGCAGAGCUCCACGUCUAGAUGUUCUGCUAAGGUCCACCUGUCACGGGGUCCCUUCCCAGUGUCCCGAGGGUUCAUCUGACGCGUCAGAGCCAGGCAGGGCCCUGCCUCAGGCCCCCUACCGCCUCCCCACACAGCUGCGCCCUGGAGGGAAGGGCUCUGCCCCGCCGCGUCCUUCCCCACAGGCCCUGAGCCCUCUCAUUGCCCGCCCGACAGCCCUGUGUGUCCGUGCUGGAGGUUGCGGGUAAUGCCUGCGUCCUCUCCCCUGGGCCCCCCUGUCUCCCUGGGGGGACCAGCAGUCUCCAAGAAGACUUGGCGUGUGGAAGGCACCUUUGGCCUUUGUGUGUGGCGGGCCAGCGAGCAGGCCCUGUGCAGGGUGUUGUCAGCAGAAGUAGGGAUUGCCCUGGGCCUGGUGAGGGUUGGGGAAGCAGUCUCAGGUCUGACAGUGUCCCUUCACCCUCCCUCCCCUCCUCCCUGAGUGAGGUAGGGCACCAGGCAGCUCCUUGAGGGCUCAGGCACUGUUGGAAGGGGAGUGGGCUGGGGAGCGGGGCGUCUGCAGCUUCUGUGUUCGUGUCGAGUGCUGCUCGCUGUUGAGAAUGUGAACGGGUCAGAGCUCUGUGUUGACGUGCAGUGAGCACUGAUGGAGCACACAGAGCCUGGACGCAGAACCAGGCUUCCAAAGGGACAGAGAAACAGUCAAUUAACGCUGGGAAAAUGAAGAUGGGCAAAAGGGAACAAGUGGGCAGGCGUUCGGGAGCCUGGGCUGAGGCCGCCAUGCUGUGCUUCCUUUUGCAGGUUGAGGCCUCUGGUGUCUACGCAGCCAGCAAAGAAGGUGGCCACGGGAGAGGCUUUGCUCCCAAGCUCUCCCACCCUCGGAGCUGAGCCUGCCAGGCCCCAGGCGGUGCUGGUGGAGAGCGGGCCCGUGUCAUACCACGCCGACGAGGAGGCUGACGAGGAGGAGCCCGACGAGGAGGAUGGGGAGCCCUGCGUCAGUGCCCUGCAGAUGAUGGGCAGCAACGACUAUGGCUGUGAUGGCGACGAGGACGACGGCUACUGAAGUGUGGCCUCCAGGCAGGUGAUGUCCUGGCAGGGGGCCUCGCGGGUCUCCUCAGCAUCAGACGGGCUUCCAGGACCACAGCAGGCAGGCCCCAGCGCCGAGACUCCUGGUGACAGGUGGCACCUGUCCCACAGCCCUCGUCCCAUGUGGAACUUACCAUUGGGAUUGUGUUUCUAUUCAGCAAGGGAAACCGGACCAAGCGUCUGCAUGUGUGUGAUCAGAUGUGGGCCGGGUGUGUGCAGGGCUGGGUCCCGCUGCCUGCCGUCGACUCAUCCAAGGACCCUCCAAGGCUGGCAGUGUGGUGUUGCUACUAUUAAGGAAACAGGCUUGGGGCAGCCCCACUGCUGGUCCAAGUGUGUGGAGGGCUGAGUGUGCUGGCCCUGUGACUCAGGACCAGCUCUGGAGUCCCCAGCCCACCCUCCGCACCGUCCCCUCCUGAGCAGCACUCGGCGCCAGCAGCCUCUGCCAGAGUG